CGCUCAGACGAACGCUGGCGGCGUGCCUAAUACAUGCAAGUCGAGCGGACAGAUGGGAGCUUGCUCCCUGAUGUUAGCGGCGGACGGGUGAGUAACACGUGGGUAACCUGCCUGUAAGACUGGGAUAACUCCGGGAAACCGGGGCUAAUACCGGAUGGUUGUUUGAACCGCAUGGUUCAAACAUAAAAGGUGGCUUCGGCUACCACUUACAGAUGGACCCGCGGCGCAUUAGCUAGUUGGUGAGGUAACGGCUCACCAAGGCAACGAUGCGUAGCCGACCUGAGAGGGUGAUCGGCCACACUGGGACUGAGACACGGCCCAGACUCCUACGGGAGGCAGCAGUAGGGAAUCUUCCGCAAUGGACGAAAGUCUGACGGAGCAACGCCGCGUGAGUGAUGAAGGUUUUCGGAUCGUAAAGCUCUGUUGUUAGGGAAGAACAAGUACCGUUCGAAUAGGGCGGUACCUUGACGGUACCUAACCAGAAAGCCACGGCUAACUACGUGCCAGCAGCCGCGGUAAUACGUAGGUGGCAAGCGUUGUCCGGAAUUAUUGGGCGUAAAGGGCUCGCAGGCGGUUUCUUAAGUCUGAUGUGAAAGCCCCCGGCUCAACCGGGGAGGGUCAUUGGAAACUGGGGAACUUGAGUGCAGAAGAGGAGAGUGGAAUUCCACGUGUAGCGGUGAAAUGCGUAGAGAUGUGGAGGAACACCAGUGGCGAAGGCGACUCUCUGGUCUGUAACUGACGCUGAGGAGCGAAAGCGUGGGGAGCGAACAGGAUUAGAUACCCUGGUAGUCCACGCCGUAAACGAUGAGUGCUAAGUGUUAGGGGGUUUCCGCCCCUUAGUGCUGCAGCUAACGCAUUAAGCACUCCCGCCU
rnacentral:rRNA from 1 species